GACGAACGCUGGCGGCGUGCCUAAUACAUGCAAGUCGAGCGCUGAAGCGUGGUACUUGUACCUAUUGGAUGAGCAGCGAACGGGUGAGUAACGCGUGGGGAAUCUGCCUUUGAGCGGGGGACAACAUCUGGAAACGAAUGCUAAUACCGCAUAAUAUUUUUAAACACAAGUUUUAAGAUUGAAAGAUGCAAUUGCAUCACUCAAUGAUGAUCCCGCGUUGUAUUAGCCAGUUGGUGAGGUAAAGGCUCACCAAGGCAAUGUAACUUAGCCGCCCGGAGAGGGGGAUGGGCACAUUGGGAACUGGACACCGCCCAAGCUCCUUCGGGGGGGAGGAAGAAGGGAACCUCGGCAAAUGAGGGAAGUCUGGACGAGGAACGCCGGGGGGGUGAAGGAAGUUUUCGGAUCGUAAAACUCUGUUGGUAGGGAAAGACGAUAGGGGGAGUUGAAUGUGCAUCAAGUGACGGUAACUACCCAGAAAGGGACGGCUAACUACGUG
rnacentral:rRNA from 1 species